AUUGAACGCUGGCGGCAUGCUUUACACAUGCAAGUCGAACGGUAACAGGCCGCAAGGUGCUGACGAGUGGCGAACGGGUGAGUAAUGCAUCGGAACGUGCCCAGUCGUGGGGGAUAACGCAGCGAAAGCUGCGCUAAUACCGCAUACGAUCUAUGGAUGAAAGCGGGGGACCGUAAGGCCUCGCGCGAUUGGAGCGGCCGAUGUCAGAUUAGGUAGUUGGUGGGGUAAAGGCUCACCAAGCCAACGAUCUGUAGCUGGUCUGAGAGGACGACCAGACACACUGGGACUGAGACACUGCCCAGACUCCUACGGGAGGCAGCAGUGGUGAAUUUUGGACAAUGGGCGCAAGCCUGAUCCAGCAAUGCCGCGUGCAGGAAGAAGGCCUUCGGGUUGUAAACUGCGUUUGUACGGAACGAAACGGCGCUGGUUAAUACCUGGGGCUAAUGACGGUACCGUAAGAAUAAGCACCGGCUAACUACGUGCCAGCCGCCGCGGUAAUAC
rnacentral:rRNA from 1 species